GAUGAACGCUGGCGGCGUGCCUAAUACAUGCAAGUCGAGCGAACGGACGAGAAGCUUGCUUCUCUGAUGUUAGCGGCGGACGGGUGAGUAACACGUGGAUAACCUACCUAUAAGACUGGGAUAACUUCGGGAAACCGUAGCUAAUACCGGAUAAUAUUUUGAACCGCAUGGUUCAAAAGUGAAAGACGGUCUUGCUGUCACUUAUAGAUGGAUCCGCGCUGCAUUAGCUAGUUGGUAAGGUAACGGCUUACCAAGGCAACGAUGCAUAGCCGACCUGAGAGGGUGAUCGGCCACACUGGAACUGAGACACGGUCCAGACUCCUAAGGGAGGCAGCAGUAGGGAAUCUUCCGCAAUGGGCGAAAGCCUGACGGAGCAACGCCGCGUGAGUGAUGAAGGUCUUCGGAUCGUAAAACUCUGUUAUUAGGGAAGAACAUAUGUGUAAGUAACUGUGCACAUCUUGACGGUACCUAAUCAGAAAGCCACGGCUAACUACGUG
rnacentral:rRNA from 1 species